rnacentral:lncRNA from 1 species
GAAGGAAUGGGGGCCAUGGUUCUGGUCACCGGCUAGUGCAAGGCGGUUUCCACCUGGCUAGCUUAGAAGAAUGAGGCCGUGGGUACAGGAACUGCUCCAGGCGAGACUACCUCCCCAGGGAAACAGCACCAGAAAGAAGGUGUACAGUUUUCAUCAGAUUCUCAAAGUUGUCUUAAUCUUCAGCAUGUUAAGAAUCACCGUCUUGGAGAUAAGCUACAUCGUCCACCUCAUUUCACCAGUCGAGAAACUGCCCACCGCCUCCCAAACCUGAACGGUUAAGCAACUUGCCUGACAUUCUCCAUGAGUGUAAGGCAGAUCCCAGGCAUGGCCAAAAGUCGAUAGACUUCCAGGAACAUAGGAAUUAGAACCAUCCCCACCAACACCAGUAUCCUCUGGACCUUUCAGGCCAACGAUAGACACUAAAUUUAGUUUUUAAAAAUAUUGGUUUUCACCAUAACUUGUAAGUGGCUCACUGACAUUGUUGAGGAGGCAGGAUUGCAUCAGAGAAACACUGCAUUACUCGGGUUUACCAUCACCCAGUUGGCCCUGAUUUAGGACAGAGGCUGCGUAUGUGCACGAAUAAACACUCCCUUUCUCCCGUACUGCAUCCUGCUCACGAGUUUGGUGCCUGUGGCAAGUGUUUGGUCUCCUUUAAUGAAGCCCUGGAGUUGGGGAGAUGCUGUCUCCUUUUGUUUCGUGGAGGAGUGCUGCCAUAUCUAGCCCUGAGAUCUGAAACCUCUACCACAGUUCUCGUCCAACACGGCUUUCAGGUGCGGGGCGUUUGCGCAACAGUCUCUUGGACGAUAACGGAGAAGAUAGAAUUUCACAGAUCAGAAGGAAGUGGUGUGAGUGGAAACCUGCAGAGGUUGAGUUUCCAUGCUCUUCUGCCCUCACCUCAUCUCCACCCCUCUCCGGGUCUGUCCGUGGGAUGCUUGUCCGCACACGUAACUACAAACUGCAAAGUCUUCAUCUUGGAGCAGACCCCAUCUGCGGUCACUUUCACAGAUCUGGAUCAUCUAUACAAAGGAGGCAAGGAAGAGUCCCAUGAUUCCAUGACCUUGGGGAGACACUGCAAAAUGUACUUCCUUCUCCAUUCCAGAAAAGUGAAAUGAGCGUUUUUCUCAGCUGGUCAUAGGGACACAUCUGCCAAGGCUCUGGAUGCCAAGCCCUCCAGACCCCUGAGAAGAAGCAGGGCUCCCUGGAUCGACUUUCAGACAGUGUGCGGUGCUUCAGGCUCCGUGAUCGGGAACUACGAGGUGUGGGACCCCGUCACCAAUAAAUACGUCUGUAACUUUGGACA